rnacentral:rRNA from 1 species
AACGAACGUUAGCGGCGCGCCUAACACAUGCAAGUCGAACGCGACAGGGGCAACUCUGUUGAGUGGCGCACGGGUGAGUAACACGUAGGUAAUCUCCCCCCGAGUGGUGGAUAACCUUCCGAAAGGAGGGCUAAUACAGCAUAAGACCACGGCUUCGAAAGGAGCUGAGGUCAAAGCGGAGGAUCGCAAGACUUCGCGCUUGGGGAUGAGCCUGCGGCCCAUCAGGUAGUUGGCGGGGUAACAGCCCACCAAGCCUAAGACGGGUAGCUGGUCGGAGAGGAGGGUCAGCCACACUGGAACUGAGACACGGUCCAGACUCCUCCGGGAGGCAGCAGUGGGGAAUCUUGCGCAAUGGACGAAAGUCUGACGUAGCGACGCCGCGUGGGUGAUGAAGGCCUUCGGGUUGUAAAGCCCUGUGGGGAGGGACGAAUAAGUUUCAGCUAAUACCUGAAGCGAUGACGGUACCUCCUUAGCAAGCACCGGCUAACUCUGUGCCAGCCGCCGCAGUAA